AUAAAGGGUGGUUUCCAGGCCACUCCCAGCUCACCCCCCACCCCCACCAGCCGGGAGCAAACCUUCCGGCAAAGUCACAGGGGGCUUGCUUGCACGCCCUCAGCAGGUGCAGGAAUAGUUGGAGUCCACAGCAGCUAUUGCACACCCAGCCCCCUUCUUCCUGCCUGGAACACGGAUGUGUUGUCGGGAGUUCCGGCAGCCACAUUAGACCAGAAGGCAAAGGGGAAUGGAGCUGUGAGCUCGCCCUCUGCGGGCUGCGCGGUGCCUUAUGAAAUCAGAGCACAGAGGACCGGCGCGGAGAUGCGCAGAGGCCUCCCGUCCGUGACGGACUGGGCCUGCAUCCGGCUCUGCCACUUCCCAGCCGUGCAAGCCGAACCUGUGACUUCAGUUCUUGGUUUUCUCAUCUGUGAAGAGACAAUAAUGCCCACGCCGACCUCAUCAGGGUUCUUGUCCACUUUUUCAACAAAUAGUUACCGGGCACCUGCUGUACUACACUCUGGGCCCUGUGCUAUUUCUGAGGAAACAGCCGGGAGGAAAUAAAACCAACGAGCUGUCCCCCCCUCCCCACCCCGGCCCAAGGCAGCACAGUCUGGGGAGGGGGCAGGCAUCCGCCACAUUGCCAAAUGCACAAAUAUCAAAGUGUGAUUGUGACAAAGGCCACACACAAAGACCUGUGAUAGAAGUUUGACCUUGUCACAUGCAAAGGUCCUGUGGUUGAAAUGAUUCAACAUGAUAAACAAUGCCAGUACACACUGAAUGAGAGCGUUACUAGUAUUUCCUUGAACCGAUGCCAGGAAACAUUUGAAUCAGCUGAGAAACUUCUCCCUCUCUCUCUCUCUCUCUCUCAUUUUUUAAUUUUUUUUUACAUUUAUUUAUUUUUGAGAGACAGAGCCCAAGUAGGGGAGGGGCAGAGAGAGAGGGAGACACAGAAUCCGGAGCAGGCUCCAGGCUCCCAGCUGUCAGCACCGGAGCCCGACACAGGGCUCGAAUUCACGAACCGUGGGAUCGUGACCUGAGCCGAAGUCCCACGCUCAACCGACUGAGCCCCCCAGGCGCCCUGAGAAACGUCUCUUGUCACGACUCGGCACGCCACAACUCUGGCUUUGUCUUCUAGCGCGGGGUCUGCCUGUGAAGAGAAAUGGGCUGGUCACUCAUUCUUGUUUUUGUUUUUGGUUUUUCAAUACUCGAGUUCGUCAACAUACAGCGUGGCCCUGGUUUCAGGAGUAGAACCCAGGGAUUCAUCCCUUCCGUACGACGCCCAGCGCUCAUCCCGACCCGUGCCCUCCUGAAUGCCCAUCCCCCAUCCGGCCCCUCCCCCACCCGCCUCCCCUCCGGCACCCCUCAGUUUGUUCUCUGUAUUUAGGGGCCUCUCGUGGUUUUUCUCCGCCUCUGUUUUUAUCUUCUGUGUCCUUCCCUUCCCCUAAGUUCAUCUGUUGAUUCACUCCUUCUCCUUGAUAGGUGUUUCUUAUUCUAAACAAACGUGGCUGGCAUUCCCGUCUGAUAGAAGCUUCUGGUUAAGAUGCGACAGGCCCGAGCUCUGCAGGCUGGUGCCAGGAGGUUUCCCCCGCAGCCCCCCCAGGCACUGGCACCCCUGCCUUACCCUGAGCUCGCCCGGCACGCCUGUGUGGAGGGGGGGAAGCCAGCCAGACUUUUGCAAGGGGACACUUUUUUUUUUUUUCCUCUCGUUGCAGUUAUUAUGAGGAUCAGAAAUGGGGGCUUGGGAUGUUUCCUUCGAAGCUUUUCCCAGAUUCCAGAGAGUUUUAGGCAAACCCAGGGCUCCAGGAAGCCACUGGGCACCUGCACUUUUCCAGACAUCAGCUGAAGGGGCGCAAACAUCCUGAAACCUAAUGUAAACUUGGCAUUCGGAGUCUCCACGUGAAACGGGAGGCCGGCUGGCCCCAGAGGCAAACAGAGACUGCAUUUACAUGUCGCCCCCACGACCUCAUUUCUAAAUUCAAACAAGGAUUCUGGAAGCGCUCAUCAACCCCCUGACGAAGCAUCAAGGCGUCCCCUCGAAACGUUGUCACCAGCUGUGAGCCCAGCGCCAUGGGUCCGGGGGGAGGGGGGCGGUUGGGGACAACACCAGACACCGGUCCAUCUGUCCACAGCCCCGACCUUGGCCCGUCCUGGGGUCAACCCGGUGUUUACCCGGCCUACCUCGGGCAAGAUGCUCGGGGCAGCGGGGCCAGGGCGUGCGGGCAGGAGAACCACCUCCUUCCCUACCAAGGCCCAAGUUUCAGAAGGUGUCUCUGAGGCUCCCCACACUUUACUCCUGGGGUCCUGAGGCCCCGCAAGGGGAAGGACGUGGCCAAGGUCACAAAGCAAGUCAGAGCGCAGCCAAGAAGAGGAGAAAAAGCCCUCGCCCUCUCUCUACAUCCACGGGCCAACCGGGGUCAGCCUGGGCUCACCUUUCAGGACCUGGCUCCGGUCCUACUUCUUCAGGGGCUCUUCCAGACUCUUCGAGCAGCGGUUAGGGCCCCGGGUUCCAGUCUCCAACUCCCUCCCAUCACAUCACGGACCUCUGGAGACUUACCCAUCCCCCACGACACAAACCCCACUCUGGCAAGGCACUGCGAGGAAGCCAGCGGGGCUGGCCGCCGUGAGCACAGGGCCCGGCAGCAGGAGGUUUGAAUUUCCUGUCCUUUCGGCGGAUCACGGCGCCCGCCUCACCCCCAGCCCCCGUGGCCCGGCACCCUCAGGAGGCCGUCCUGGAAGGAGGCCAGGAGGGGGGGGAGCAAGGCUCUCCUGCACGGAGCCCUGACCCAGGACAGAGCUCCGGGAAAGGAAGGUAACUGGUUGUUUCUGUCCCGAGGAGAACAUGCCGUGACCGUGAAUCUUCAUUCGGCUGUCCCCAAAGUGACAAACAUCCCCCAGCGUCCAUACUGCUGCCUCCCCGGCAAUUUCUCUGUUUACAGGAUGUCUGGGGUGUCUAGACAGGCUGGGGUGGGGUGGGGGGAGUCAGAGAGUGGAGUCCCAAGGCAGUUCUCAGACGGCACAUGGCUAUUUCUGCACAGAACAGCUAAAACCAAAAGACUGAAAUCUGCCUCUGCCUGAAGAGUUCAUUAAAUAGAAAUAUGCUUAAUUCUUUCCUUUUUUAUCAGUUGACGGCUUCCAACAGAUAAAGCUUAUUUUAUUUAAGCUUUCACACACCCGGCGAGAUAAAUAUCCCUGAAUUCCUGUCUUCACAGGGGGGAAAAAAAAAUUAAAAACGGAUGGAGUCAGAAUCUUGAGUAGGGUUCUGGAAGCUGGACCAAAGGGUGGACCCACACGAUUGGGUCGGAGUUAGAUCAACCCCAGGACGUGGUGGUGUGGAGGGAGGGGCUGGUCCCUGCAAAGGGCAUGAGGGAAACUGCUGGCAAGGAUUGUUCUAGAAAGGACACCCACCGACUUCUGGUCCAGAGGGACCCUCAAAGUCAGAUUUGGAGGAGAAGACCUCGUCCGUACACGCAGACGGCUGUGGGUUCAGUCCCGGCCUGGCCACCCUCCAGCUGCAGAAAUGUGAACAUGUCACUUCGCUUCC